GGAUGAUUUAGACAAUGUCAUACUAAGGUCAAGCAUGUGUCUAGCUGGAGACAGCGUGGUUUCAUCAUGCAGUGGCUUUGAGAUUGGGCU